rnacentral:rRNA from 1 species
GGUUAAGCGACUAAGCGUACACGGUGGAUGCCCUGGCAGUCAGAGGCGAUGAAGGACGUGCUAAUCUGCGAUAAGCGUCGGUAAGGUGAUAUGAACCGUUAUAACCGGCGAUUUCCGAAUGGGGAAACCCAGUGUGUUUCGACACACUAUCAUUAACUGAAUCCAUAGGUUAAUGAGGCGAACCGGGGGAACUGAAACAUCUAAGUACCCCGAGGAAAAGAAAUCAACCGAGAUUCCCCCAGUAGCGGCGAGCGAACGGGGAGCAGCCCAGAGCCUGAAUCAGUGUGUGUGUUAGUGGAAGCGUCUGGAAAGGCGCGCGAUACAGGGUGACAGCCCCGUACACAAAAAUGCACAUGCUGUGAGCUCGAUGAGUAGGGCGGGACACGUGGUAUCCUGUCUGAAUAUGGGGGGACCAUCCUCCAAGGCUAAAUACUCCUGACUGACCGAUAGUGAACCAGUACCGUGAGGGAAAGGCGAAAAGAACCCCGGCGAGGGGAGUGAAAAAGAACCUGAAACCGUGUACGUACAAGCAGUGGGAGCACGCUUAGGCGUGUGACUGCGUACCUUUUGUAUAAUGGGUCAGCGACUUAUAUUCUGUAGCAAGGUUAACCGAAUAGGGGAGCCGAAGGGAAACCGAGUCUUAACUGGGCGUUAAGUUGCAGGGUAUAGACCCGAAACCCGGUGAUCUAGCCAUGGGCAGGUUGAAGGUUGGGUAACACUAACUGGAGGACCGAACCGACUAAUGUUGAAAAAUUAGCGGAUGACUUGUGGCUGGGGGUGAAAGGCCAAUCAAACCGGGAGAUAGCUGGUUCUCCCCGAAAGCUAUUUAGGUAGCGCCUCGUGAAUUCAUCUCCGGGGGUAGAGCACUGUUUCGGCAAGGGGGUCAUCCCGACUUACCAACCCGAUGCAAACUGCGAAUACCGGAGAAUGUUAUCACGGGAGACACACGGCGGGUGCUAACGUCCGUCGUGAAGAGGGAAACAACCCAGACCGCCAGCUAAGGUCCCAAAGUCAUGGUUAAGUGGGAAACGAUGUGGGAAGGCCCAGACAGCCAGGAUGUUGGCUUAGAAGCAGCCAUCAUUUAAAGAAAGCGUAAUAGCUCACUGGUCGAGUCGGCCUGCGCGGAAGAUGUAACGGGGCUAAACCAUGCACCGAAGCUGCGGCAGCGACGCUUAUGCGUUGUUGGGUAGGGGAGCGUUCUGUAAGCCUGCGAAGGUGUGCUGUGAGGCAUGCUGGAGGUAUCAGAAGUGCGAAUGCUGACAUAAGUAACGAUAAAGCGGGUGAAAAGCCCGCUCGCCGGAAGACCAAGGGUUCCUGUCCAACGUUAAUCGGGGCAGGGUGAGUCGACCCCUAAGGCGAGGCCGAAAGGCGUAGUCGAUGGGAAACAGGUUAAUAUUCCUGUACUUGGUGUUACUGCGAAGGGGGGACGGAGAAGGCUAUGUUGGCCGGGCGACGGUUGUCCCGGUUUAAGCGUGUAGGCUGGUUUUCCAGGCAAAUCCGGAAAAUCAAGGCUGAGGCGUGAUGACGAGGCACUACGGUGCUGAAGCAACAAAUGCCCUGCUUCCAGGAAAAGCCUCUAAGCAUCAGGUAACAUCAAAUCGUACCCCAAACCGACACAGGUGGUCAGGUAGAGAAUACCAAGGCGCUUGAGAGAACUCGGGUGAAGGAACUAGGCAAAAUGGUGCCGUAACUUCGGGAGAAGGCACGCUGAUAUGUAGGUGAAGUCCCU